rnacentral:miRNA from 1 species
AUGAGACUCAUGUAAAACAUCUU